ensembl:lncRNA
UGCUGUAUGUUAGUAUGAGAAUACAGGAUCACCUAAAAACACAAAGGACUUUAAUACACGUAUGAGGAAGUGACAUUUCGUCCCUUGAAACUUCUGUUUUAUUUCUAUUACCCAGCCUUGUACUUCCUCUACUCUUACCUGAGCUUUGAAAAAAGACUUUUACCUGUUUGCCUGAAGUGAGAGUGGCAUUUAAUCCUUGUUCAUCUCUAAACAACAUGCUUCUUAGCUUUUCUCUCCUGAUGUUUGUGUGUGAGAGUACGGGGGAAUCCCACACUACAACAUGGACUACGAACAACGCUUCUACCAAGAUUCAUUUUUCAAGUACACCUCCCGUUGAAGAAAAGCCCUCUCUGCAGCUGGUGGCAAUUCCAGAAUACCCAGUUGCUGCAGGUCGAAGAGUCAACCUGCAAUGCCGUGCUUUCACUGUGCAAGACUCUGUCGGGUUGUCAUGGCAACGCUUAAGAAAUCAGACUUGGCUUCCAGCGGGAGUUGGUGGGCAUCUGACCCUUACCGAGCCAGAGCAGAGCGGGCUUUACCGCUGCCUUACCGCUGCCGAGAGCCGCUUUUCUCAAAACCACACAGUCUAUAUCGUCGCCACGCACACGACAGUCGGUGAGAAUUUAGGAACAUCUGCCUUUGUCUUUUCUCUCCUGGCCUUGAUCGCCAUCUUUGCUAUUAUUUUCUGGCUGUGCUGGCACAGACUAGACGGAACGUUGAUCACCGGCAACGUUGCAAGUAAAGGUUUUCCUGGAUCUGAACAACCACCAAAGGAAGAUUUGCCACACGCUGAAUGUGACGUGUACGUAAAUUACACCUGCACCAGUAGUGACUACACUGACCUUAACCCAACCACAGUGAUUGAGGACGAUGUGUACUCAAAUCUAUCGUGAACGUGGAUGUGAAGGUGGAGAUCUGAGCAUUUGGUUCAGCUGGUGAAUAUCUGCAGAGAAAGCUCAGCAUUCCCAUCAAGCCUGAAUCACGAAGUUUAUGUUUUUAUUAGUAGCCUGAUUUGACACAACGUGAAUGUGAAAUAUAUUCAACUAUUCCAACAAAACAGCAAUGGGACAUUCCUUUUCUUCAUUCAUGUGAUUUUGAUAA